AUCAACUAUUAUACAUUGUUUUUUAGUAUUCAAGCAAGAUGAACUCUGCCAGUGGUUCAGGGCAAUUAAAAGGCGAGAAGGAGAAAGUAUGUCGAGUUAAAACAGUCGCUAAAAUGCCAUAAAUUUGUUAAACUCAUUGCAGAAAAAAAGUGCCAGUUCUCUGGCAAGAGGGGAUGGCUUUAACAUGUGUAAAUUUGCCGCUGAGCUCUCGAGGAUUCGGAGAGCAGUAAAAAAUCAUCACCCAAAACCCACUGGCAUGUCCGCCAUGCCUCUUAAACGGGCGAUACAAUCCACCAAAUAAACACAUUUAAAAUCUUUG
rnacentral:lncRNA from 1 species